rnacentral:misc_RNA from 1 species
AAGUCGUAACAAGGUUUCCGUAGGUGAACCUGCGGAAGGAUCAUUAAUGAGAUCAUGUCCUUCGGGGUAGGACCUCCCCACCCCCCUGCUUUAUCCGUACCCCGUUGCUUUCGGCGGUCCCGUUGCGGCCAAGAACGGGCCGCCAGAGGACCUUUAAAACCCGUAUUAUCAUUGUCGUCUGAGUACUAUACAAUAGUUAAAA